rnacentral:rRNA from 1 species
GAUUUUAUUAAAUAGCCGCAGUAUCCAUGACUGUGCGAAGGUAGCAUAAUCAGUUGCUUUUUAAUUGAAAGCUUGUAUGAACGGAUGAAUGAAACUUAUAUUGUCUCAAUAGAAUAAAUAAAAAUUAAAAUCUUAGUUAAAAUGCUGAGAUAUAUUUAAGGGACGAGAAGACCCUAUAGAAUUUAACUAUAGUAUAAGUACGAAGAUGAUUGGAUGAACGGCUUCGUAUUUAUAUAAUUGUUUAGCUGGGGCAGCAUCUAAAUUAAAUUAACUUUAGAAUGAAAAUAAUCUUAAACAUUUAUAAUUGAAUAAAAAGAAACAAUUUAUUGAUUUUAGAAAAAAUUACCUUAGGGAUAACAGCGUAAUGCUUUUGUAAAGACCGUAUUUAAAAAAGCGUUUGCGACCUCGAUGUUGAAUUAAGGUAAAAAUCAGGUUGCAGUAGCCUGAUAUUUAAGUCUGUUCGACUUUUAAUACCUUACGUGAUCUGAGUUCA